AGAGUUUGAUCCUAGCUCAGGGUGAACGCUGGCGGCAUGGAUAAGGCAUGCAAGUCGAAUGAGUGCAUCAUAUUGCAUAUGAUGCAGAAUAAUGAAUUAUAAAUACGGUAGGAAUUUGCGUGGCAAAUUCCUGUGUGUGAUUCUUAGUUCAUACUUCUGUGUAUCAUGCGUAGUAUGACGCACUCAUGGCAAACGGGGUAGUAACAGGUAGGAACGUACCCAUAAGUCGUGAAUAACUUCAAGAAAUUGAUGAUAAUACACGAUAUCCCGCAAGGGGAAAGAUUUAUCGCUUAUGGAGCGGCCUACUCAGUAUCAGCUUGUUGGUGAGGUAACUGCUCACCAAGGCUACGACGCUUAGGGGAGGUGAGAGCCUGACCCCCACCAUUGGAACUGAGACACUGUCCAAACUCCUACGGGAGGCUGCAGUCGAGAAUCUUCCGCAAUGGGCGAAAGCCUGACGGAGCGAUGUCGCGUGGUAGAUGAAGCACUUCGGUGCGUAAAUACCUUUUAUGAGGGAAGAAAUUAUUGACAUUACCUCAUGAAUAAGGGGCUCCUAAUCACGUGCCAGCAGGAGCGGUAAUACGUGAGCCUCAAGCGUUACCCGGAUUUACUGGGCGUAAAGGGUGUGUAGGCGGUUUAGUUAGUCGAGCGUUAAAUACCGGAGCCCAACUUCGGAUCCGCGUUCGAAACGGCUAAACUAGAGGGUGUGAGAGGUCCAGGGAACUCAUGGUGUAGGGGUGGAAUCCGUUGAUAUCAUGGGGAACAUCAAAAGCGAAGGCACUGGACUGGCACACUCCUGACGCUCAAACACGAAAGCGUGGGUAGCGAACGGGAUUAGAUACCCCGGUAGUCCACGCCCUAAACGUUCCUCGCUAGCUUUUCGGAGUAUCGACCCUUCGAGAGGCGAAGCUAACGCGUUAAGCGAGGCGCCUGGGUAGUACGAACGCAAGUUUAAAACUCAAAGGAAUAGACGGGGGCUCGCACAAGCGGUGGAGCGCGUGGCUUAAUUCGUAGCUAAACGAAGAACCUUACCGGGGUUUGAAACCUAACUGCACGACUAGGGAAACCUAGUUUCUUUUGAAGGUGUUAGGCAGGUGAUGCAUGGCUGUCGUCAGUUCGUGUUUUGAAAUGUUCCCUUAAGUGGGGUAACGAACGCAACCCUCGUGCUGUGUUAUAAGUGUCACAGCAGACUGCUCCCUCACGGGAGAGGAAGGUGAGGAUGACGCCAAGUCAGCAUGUCCCUUUGACAUCCCGGGCUGCACACACGCUACAAUGGAUAGUACAACAAGGCGCAAUGGAGUAAUCCGGAGCAAAUCUUUAAAACUAUUCUCAGUUCGGAUUGAGGUCUGCAACUCGACCUCAUGAAGUUGGAAUCGCUAGUAAUGGCAGGUCAGCAUACUGCCGUGAAUACGUUCUCGAGCCUUGUACUCACCGCCCGUCAAUACAAGGGAGCUGGGAGUACCCGAUGUCCGUCCUAGUGACGGCCCAAGGUAAAUUCAGUAACAAGGUAUAAGUCGUAACAAGGUACGGC
rnacentral:rRNA from 1 species